rnacentral:lncRNA from 1 species
AAUCAGAAUCUCCCGGCAGUUGGUUCCCGGAGGCAGAAUCUGUUAAACUGACAAAGCCCACGUCUCCGGGUCCCUGUCUCGGGGAGUCGGGACUAUUGGGUCACCCCGGGUAGUCGAGACUCUAGACUGAGCUGUCUCGGUCACUCAGGAGGCAGUUGGCAGAGUAUUCGUGGUCAGGGAGGUGACCCGUGGUCAGCAGGGUCAGGCCACCCAGGGACAAAGGGUGCUCCUGCACCGGGCCUUGGAGAAGGACAGAGCGGUGGGGACUUGGGGUCAGCGGGGGAGCCUCCGCGGAUGGGGAGUCACCACCUGCCGGCAAUCAGCCAUGACUGCCUUUGCACUGUCCAUGCUCUCAGCCCACCACCUCCUCCCCCUGCCAUUGCAGUGGCUAACACUGGAGACGAAGACCAAGACACCACAGCCUUUCUCCAGUACCUCUCAAAUCAGCACAGACAAGGACAAAGGCCUCAAUCCACAACUGCUGAAGAUGGACCCUGGCCACAUGGGAUGGUCAGACACGCCUGCCCAGCUAUCUGCAGGCGAAGAGGCUCAGAAGAGGUUUAGGGGCCUGAAGGACAUCUUGCUUCCAUGUCCAUAUGAGCAGGCUAUUUCUGCUCCAUGAGUCAAUUUUGCCAUAUAAAAUACUUAAUUUCAGCCAUUCCAGGGUGCUAUAGGAUGCACAGCUUCCCAUCAGCCCACCUGAACUCCAGCCAUGCCAUUUUAAUACCAGGAAUAAGGUCACCUGCUUUCCUGCCCCUUAGGAGGCCGGAGCCGUGGAAGCAAAAUGGCACUUCUGUUUACCUGUUAUAUUAUUUUUUUGUCAUCCUUAUAUGUUUGAAAAAUGCAAUUAUAUGAAAAAAGUUUAGUAAUUACAGACAUAACAGCAGAAAGUCCUCGGAACCAAGCUUAUUCUCAUGGCCGAUUCUGCUCCACCUGGGACUCUGCUGUGCUGCGGGCAUCCUGUGGUCAGAAUCGCAGAGGGGCCAUCAGGGAGGACCUUCCCAGAGGAUGGACCUCACGUGACUGCUGCGUGGGCAAGUGGCACUGGCCACUCUGCCUGGAGAGAGGAGUAAAUGCAGGGCUGGCCAGGCGACCUGCACACUCUGCUACCGGCCUUGUCCAUCUUUAGCCUCUAAUUUGAAAAUGAGGAUCACACAGACCAAGAGUAUCUUUGAGGGUUAGUACAGACCACAGAAAUGCCCUGGGCCUUUCACUCUCUCCUUUUGCAAAUUCCCAUGUGUGGAAAUGCCGUUUGGAUAAUGAGGGAGCCUGAAGGAGGUGGACACAUGAGCAGCCCCGACAGGCCUGGCUCCAUCCUCUGAAAAUGGGGCCCCGUGCCCGGCGUGUGGCCUUACUGGUUCAGUCUUCUUUACAGUGGUAGGUUUUGAGUGCCCAGAUGCCCAGUGCCUCCUACCCGGAACAGGACAGGACCAGGCUGUCCCCUGGAAGAAUCCCAUGCACACUUGGCUAUUCAGGGAGUUUCCACCCAGCCGAGCUCGCCUCUGUGGCUACCCUGGUCUUGCUGCUCAUAUCUGCCAGGAAAGGCCUGGACUUGGAGAGAAACCUGGGAUUUGGAUUCAGUCCUUGCCAGCCUGGCUGGUUCAUAUCCUUACCUCUGUCUGUGGAAGCCUAUGUUCCUGAGCAGCGAGUCAGAGGGGGCAUCUGAACGCAGAGCAGGGAGCUUCAGAUGGGAAGAAGUCAGAGGAACCAGAAUGUAUCAGACGAUGUGGAGUUGGGUGCCUGAGCUCAAAGCAAGCUGGGCCUUGGGCUGGCUGUGUGAUCUUGGGCAAGUUCGACCAGCUUCUUUGUGCCUCUUUUCUCUCCUUAAUAAGAUAAAUGUCUUCACUAGUACACUGA